AUUGAACGCUGGCGGCAGGCCUAACACAUGCAAGUCGAGCGGAUGAAGGGAGCUUGCUCCUGGAUUCAGCGGCGGACGGGUGAGUAAUGCCUAGGAAUCUGCCUGGUAGUGGGGGAUAACGUCCGGAAACGGGCGCUAAUACCGCAUACGUCCUGAGGGAGAAAGUGGGGGAUCUUCGGACCUCACGCUAUCAGAUGAGCCUAGGUCGGAUUAGCUAGUUGGUGGGGUAAAGGCCUACCAAGGCGACGAUCCGUAACUGGUCUGAGAGGAUGAUCAGUCAAACUGAAACUGAAACAGGGCCGAGCACCGUAGGGGGGGAAGGAGUGGGAAAUUUUGGAAAAGGGGCAAAAGCCUAAACACGCCAUGCCGUGUGUGUGAAGAAGGUCUUGGGAUUGAAAAACAUUUUAAGUUGGGAGAAAGGGCAGUAAGUUAAUACCUUGCUGUUUUACCGUUCCCAACAGAAUAAGCACCGGCUACUUUCG
rnacentral:rRNA from 1 species